CUGUACUGGCAAGGCUGUGCACCUUCCAUGAGACCAGCCCUUCCCUGACAUGCCUAUCAAAAAGGUGUCACACAUUUGGGGAAGUACUGAGAGAAACUCACGCCAGAAAGACCCACCAAGGAGCUUCAGACUCUUCAUUCUUUCUUCGGAGAUUCACAGGUCCCAGGUAACAGGAUGAGAAUGGUGCAAAAGCCCCACGUCUGCCUUCUAAAGAGCCCUGCCCACUGCUGAAACAGAAGCUGGACUUCAGCAAGUGCUUUUUGAACUUUCCAGGGUUAAAGGCUUCGCAUGGAGCCAGCAUCACCCAUGGAGAUGGUUCUGCGGGACUUCGCUGGUGUUUUUACCCUAUGAAUAAUUGCAAGAUGGGAUCUAGGUCUGAGAACUCAGAGCACUUAGGGAAGAAACCAUGAAAGUCUUCACCACUUGUUUCACCACAUGGCUCCUUUGGCAGCACACUCAGAGAAGGGCUUGUGCCAAGGCUACAGGCAUACUUCCCGGAUCCUGAGAUGUGGGAUACAGCGCACUCAAUGACCCUCACCCCAAUUUUUUUUUCUUCCCCCCAAAAAAUAAACCAAAUCCCUCCUCAGCCA